GAGAGUUUGAUUCUGGCUCAGGACGAACGCUGGCGGCGUGCUUAACACAUGCAAGUCGAACGAGAGGACAUGAAAAGCUUGCUUUUUAUGGAAUCGAGUGGCAAACGGGUGAGUAACGCGUAAGCAACCUGCCCUGCAGAUGGGGACAACAGCUGGAAACGGCUGCUAAUACCGAAUACGAAGCAGCUCCCGCAUGGGGGCAGCUUGAAAGGAUGGCCUCUGAAUAUGCUAUCGCUGCAGGAGGGGCUUGCGUCUGAUUAGCUGGUUGGAGGGGUAACGGCCCACCAAGGCGACGAUCAGUAGCCGGUCUGAGAGGAUGAACGGCCACAUUGGGACUGAGACACGGCCCAGACUCCUACGGGAGGCAGCAGUGGGGAAUCUUCCGCAAUGGACGAAAGUCUGGCGGAGCAACGCCGCGUGAGUGAAGACGGCCUUCGGGUUGUAAAGCUCUGUUAUACGGGACGAACGGGCAGGAUGCUAAUACCAUCCUGUUGUGACGGUACCGUAAGAA
rnacentral:rRNA from 1 species